rnacentral:rRNA from 1 species
GAUGAACGCUGGCGGCGUGCCUAAUACAUGCAAGUCGAGCGAACAGACGAGGAUCUUGCUCCUCUGACGUUAGCGGCGGACGGGUGAGUAACACGUGGAUAACCUACCUAUAAGACUGGGAUAACUUCGUGAAACCGGAGCUAAUACCGGAUAACAUGUUGAACCGCAUGGUUCAACAGUGAAAGACGGUUUUGCUGUCACUUAUAGAUGGAUCCGCGUCGCAUUAGCUAGUUGGUAAGGUAACGGCUUACCAAGGCAACGAUGCGUAGCCGACCUGAGAGGGUGAUCGGCCACACUGGAACUGAGACACGGUCCAGACUCCUACGGGAGGCAGCAGUAGGGAAUCUUCCGCAAUGGGCGAAAGCCUGACGGAGCAACGCCGCGUGAGUGAAGAAGGUCUUCGGCUCGUAAAACUCUGUUAUUAGGGAAGAACAAAUGUGUAAGUAACUAUGCACGUCUUGACGGUACCUAAUCAGAAAGCCACGGCUAACUACGUG